UCCAAAGGAGCACAAAAGGAGAAGGAAAUCACAAGCAAUAUCCAAGGAGCUUGGAGGUGACUUGAAGGCCCUCCACUUGGGUGAAUCCCUUGUGUAAACAAGGAUGAGCUUCAAGGGUAAAGAAACUCUAAAUCUUUACUUCUCUUUAAUGUUGUUAAAGAGUCUUUAGGUUCACCAUAUACUAGGCUUUGAAAGUCAUGGGUUUAUGAAUUGAUUUUUGGAUGCAUGCCUACUUUAAAGUGUUAAUAGCUUGCAUAUGUAUUCAAAUGUUCAUACUUGUUCUUAGCUAGGACAAAUUUUUCCUUCAAGUGGUAUCAGAGCCUAGGCCUAGUUUAUGGUGAAUCCUU
rnacentral:lncRNA from 1 species